GGGGAUUUAGCUCAGUGGCAUAAGCACCUGCCUUCAGAGCAGGUGGUCGUGAGUUCAAUCCCCG
rnacentral:tRNA from 1 species